AUGCUGUAUAUUGGAUUGGAAUAUGGUCUGACCAAUAACUCCAAAUUGGCUGAACGUUUCUUUGGCCAAGCUCUGAGCAUCGCACCAGAAGACCCCUUCGUCAUCCAUGAGGUUGGAGUCGUUGCAUUUCAGAAUGGAGAAUGGAAAACAGCAGAAAAAUGGUUUCUUGAUGCUUUGGAAAAAAUUAAAGCAAUUGGGAAUGAGGUAUUCUAUGUAAUAUCUAUACAUGUACACACAUGCACAUCCCUAAGCAUAUUUACUGUUGGAUGUGGAAAAUGCAGGCACAGUCUCUCACCUAAAAGAGAAUAAUAUUUGUCAUAACAAAUAACUUGAUCAGGUUACGAUGGUCACACAGUUGACUUUUAUCCCAUAGAAAAUCUGAGUUUAUUUCUGAUCAAAGAACAGGUAUUGGAUGUGACAUGGGGCAGCAGUGAGAACACAUAGGUGGUGGUUUGAAGCAGGGUUUCUGAUGAUUGAAGAUAUCUCAGUGUUUAAUGCAACAUUGCUUCCCUAGAGCUUCAAGAGCCUAGUCUUUGGCUCAAGAGUAUGUGUAGCUUGGCAGCAGAUACACUUCUGCAAGGCUGGGUGUCAUUCAAAUUCAGACCUUUUGUUGUUCCUGUGUCUAUCUAGGUCAUUGGACAUUUGAAACAUUUUCAUGAAUUUGUGUUAAUGAAUUUAUCCUCCAACUAGCAAGACUGUAUAUGCACUGGUAUUAUGUAUAAAUAGCAAUUUUCUAUAUAAACAAGUAUAAGUAAGGGAUCUGCAUGCGGCCACUCUUGAUUUCCAUUUCCUUCAGUUGGUACUUAUUUAGUCUUACUCUGUUCUGAGUUUCACACCCUGGUUUUUGUACAUUCGUGCUCACAGCUCC
rnacentral:lncRNA from 1 species